GUGGCUGUGGCUCAGUGGUAGAGUGCUUACCUAGCAUGUGUGAGGCACUGGGUUUGACCCUCAGCACCACA
rnacentral:tRNA from 1 species